UACAGAGGUGGCAAGCGUUGUUCGGAAUUACUGGGCGUAAAGGGCGCGUAGGCGGUCUUGUAAGUCCUGUGUGAAAUCCCUCGGCUCAACUGAGGAACUGCACGGGAUACUGCGAGACUUGAGUUCGGGAGAGGGAAGCGGAAUUCCGGGUGUAGCGGUGAAAUGCGUAGAUAUCAGGAGGAACACCGGUGGCGAAGGCGGUGGUCUGGGCCGGCACUGACGCUGAGGAGCGAAAGCGUGGGGAGCGAACAGG
rnacentral:rRNA from 1 species